rnacentral:rRNA from 1 species
CAGUGAAAUUGAACUCGCUGUGAAGAUGCAGUGUACCCGCGGCAAGACGGAAAGACCCCGUGAACCUUUACUAUAGCUUGACACUGAACAUUGAGCCUUGAUGUGUAGGAUAGGUGGGAGGCUUUGAAGUGUGGACGCCAGUCUGCAUGGAGCCGGCCUUGAAAUACCACCCUUUAAUGUUUGAUGUUCUAACGUUGGCCCCUGAUCGGGGUUGCGGACAGUGUCUGGUGGGUAGUUUGACUGGGGCGGUCUCCUCCUAAAGAGUAACGGAGGAGCACGAAGGUUGGCUAAUCCUGGUCGGACAUCAGGAGGUUAGUGCAAUGGCAUAAGCCAGCUUGACUGCGAGCGUGACGGCGCGAGCAGGUGCGAAAGCAGGUCAUAGUGAUCCGGUGGUUCUGAAUGGAAGGGCCAUCGCUCAACGGAUAAAAGGUACUCCGGGGAUAACAGGCUGAUACCGCCCAAGAGUUCAUAUCGACGGCGGUGUUUGGCACCUCGAUGUCGGCUCAUCACAUCCUGGGGCUGAAGUAGGUCCCAAGGGUAUGGCUGUUCGCCAUUUAAAGUGGUACGCGAGCUGGGUUUAGAACGUCGUGAGACAGUUCGGUCCCUAUCUGCCGUGGGCGCUGGAGAACUGAGGGGGGCUGCUCCUAGUACGAGAGGACCGGAGUGGACGCAUCACUGGUGUUCGGGUUGUCAUGCCAAUGGCACUGCCCGGUAGCUAAAUGCGGAAGAGAUAAGUGCUGAAAGCAUCUAAGCACGAAACUUGCCCC